rnacentral:lncRNA from 1 species
UCAUCCUGGAUUAUAUCAACUCUACUUCUUCUCCUGAUUACAGUUGUCCCAUGGAAAUAACUAGAAUUUGUGUCCCUAAAAGCUAGCCAUUUAGAACGAGCUUUCUGGAACCAAAACACCUCUUCUUGAAUCAAAACCUCCUCAUAUUUACUCCACACCUCCUGCAUCUUAUCAACUAGGUAAUUGGAAUGAACAAAACUCAUCCUUCUAUUUAGUUGAUCUAGUUUACACAUCAACCUCUUAUUCUUCACAA